UCGUAUAACUUGCUUCCUUAUGAUUCUUAAUUUCAGGAUAUUUUCCUGAACCGCUCCCACCUUCCAACUUUCAGCUCUCCUGCCAUCGAGACGCACAUCCACCGUAUCCCAGGACUCUCCCAGAAGUUUAUUUACCUCAAUGACGAUGUGAUGUUUGGCAAAGACGUUUGGCCGGACGACUUCUACAGCCACUCCAAAGGACAGAAGGUGUACCUCACCUGGCCGGUUCCUAACUGUGCUGAGGGCUGCCCAGGAUCCUGGAUUAAAGAUGGAUACUGUGACAAGGCCUGCAACAACUCGGCCUGCGACUGGGAUGGAGGAGACUGUCUCGGAAUAGCAGGAAACAACCGGUUUCCUGCAGGGGCCGGUGGCGUCGGGCCCGGAGGAGCAGGUGGACCGGUGUGGCAGAUCGGCGGUUUUGGAGGAAUUGGAGGGACGUCGUACUGCAAUCAAGGCUGCGCCAACUCGUGGCUGGCAGACAAGUUCUGCGAUCAGGCCUGCAACGUUCUCUCCUGUGGGUUUGAUGUGGGCGACUGCGGCCACGAGCACUUUGGCGAGCUGCACCGUGUGACUCUGCUCAGAAACCAGAGCCUCUACACUCUCCCUCUGGGCGAGACCAGGCCGUAUUUCAGCUUCGACAAGCUGGCUCGCCGAGUCUCCGAGGCCCACGUCAAGGACAACCCCGUGGUCCGACACACGUCCGUCGCCAACAAGUGGAAGAGCAUUCACCUGCUGCUGUACCCGGGGCAAAACGCCACCCAGGUCCAGUACAACGUCACCUUCCAGACAGAGGGUGACACUCUGUUCACCAUGAUCUUCAGCGUCGCAGUCGACACGCGGGAGGUUCCUCAGACUAACGCCACUCGGGGCGGGAGCAAAGAGGCAGGAGAGGAGUCUAAGCUCACCCCGACAGCCGAGCCAGUUUUCCCGUUUUCGGAUAUUCCCGAGGAAAAACGAGGGCCGAAGAUCCAGAAGAACCAUCCUGCUGAAUCUCAGGCUCUUAUACAGGUUCCUUUGGUAAAUGUCUCGGUUUUACCACUUGUUGUGAGGAACGAGCUGGAAACAUUGGAGGAGAAACUUUUAAAUGGUGACAUUACGGUGAAGGGAUACAACCUCACCAAGGCUGAGCUUCUAAAGCCGUAUCAUAGUCUGGCUGACAUCAACGUACAGCCAGGCGGAGUCCAGGAUAAGGCCUCCAAAGGCCUGGAGGAAGACAAUCAGAUGAAGAAUAAUCAAAACUCUGAUCAGAAAAUGCCAAAGGAGUCUAAACCUACCCCUCCUCUCAUGCCGGUCCACAUCGAUAGUAAAAUAAAAAGUCUUUUAAGUCCUGAACGUUUUCCUUUGAAUCCUGUAAUUGAGAAGCCCAAGACGUCGAAACUUCACAGCAACGUUUCCCAAAAGAGUGAGGAGAUUCGAGGGGAGCCGCCUGCAGUCGGGAGGAAGCUGCAGCACUUUGUCUCCUCAGAUCGAGGCUUUCUGCCGUGGGAGAGGAGGAAAUACUUCCAGGCCUUGCUUGAGGAGGAGGAGCGUCUUCAGAGCGAGUUAUCCUACAGGACGGACAGCGGAGCGACCAGGCGAAAGCUGCAGGACACCUUCGCCGACUCGCUGCGCUACGUCAACAAGCUGCUCAACGGCCAGUUCGGCUUCACGUCGCGCAAAGUCCCUGCUCACAUGCCGCACAUGAUCGACCGUCUCGUCAUGCAGGAGCUCCAGGACACAUUUCCCGAAGAGUUCGACAAAACCUCGGCGCACCGCGUUCGUCACUCUGAGGACAUGCAGUUCGCCUUUUCCUACUUUUACUUCCUGAUGAGUGCCCAGCAGCAGCUGAACGUCUCAGACGUGUUUGACGAAGUCGACACCGACCACUCCGGCGUUCUGUCGGACAGAGAGAUCCGAACUCUCGCUACCAGGAUCCACGAGCUUCCCCUCAGCCUCCAGGAUCUGACGGGUUUAGAGCAGAUGCUGAUAAACUGCUCUAAAACCCUCCCAACUAACCUGACCCAUCUGCACCUGGUGAGCCCCAUGCAGGAAGCCUAUUAUGAUCCCAACAUGCCUCCCGUCACUAAAGGCCUGGUCCUUCACUGCAAACCCAUCACAGAGAAGAUUCAUAAAGCUUUCAAAGAUCAGAACAAAUACAAGUUUGAGAUAAUGGGAGAGGAAGAGAUUGCUUUCAAGAUGGUGCGGACCAACGUGUCCCAUGUGGUCGGCCAGUUGGACGACAUCAGGAAGAAUCCCAGGAAGUUCAUCUGUCUGAAUGAUAACAUCGACCACAGCCACAAGGACGCUCCCACUGUGAAGGCCGUGCUGAGAGAUUUCUACGAGUCCAUGUUCCCACUGCCGUCCCAGUUCGAGCUUCCCAGAGAAUACCGCAACAGGUUCCUGCAUAUGGAAGAGCUCCAGGACUGGCGGGUUUACCGGGACAAGCUGAAGUUCUGGACCCACUGCGUCCUCGUGACUCUUGUCGUCUUCACCAUUAUGUCCUUCUUCGCCGAGCAGCUCAUUCUGCUGAAGCGGAAACUGUUCCCCAGACGCAGACUAACCAGAGACAGCAACCCAGAGCGAGUGUAAAAGAGGAAGACUGUCUUGUCCUCCAUGAAAGUCGUCCUCCACGCCUUCUGUCCUCCUCCAACGAGAGACCAGGAAGGAAUCUGGGUGGACGCAACAGUCUGGACUGCUGAGAGCAGCAUUCUUCUGAAUGUGGGAAGAUACUGCAGCCAAACUAAAUCAAGAAGUUGAAUUUUCUUCCACUGGGGGCAUUGAAGACAGACUCAGCACUCCUGCAUCAGAUCCUGCCGUCGCAUCGACUCAGACAAAUGUACUGUUAAAUUAUGAAACAUUUUCCAGCAAGUUGUAUUAUAGGAAGCUCAAAUUGCACCUGUAUUUUAUAACGGUACAAACUCCUAGAAUUUUUUUUUUUUUUAAGUUAAAUAUGUUUUUGUGUUUAAAAGACAUCUAAAAAUGUCGCCUUUACUGGGGAGUCUAAAAGAAAGUGUUGCUUUUACAACCUUGUAUUUUUGUUUGUUUUAAAGAUGUAAAGAUUUGGGUAAAUGUAUUUAAGUUUUGGCCGUUUAACUCUGCCGUCUUGGAAAACAUGAAGUGCCUUCGUUGUUUAUUCCUGUUGGAUUUGAACAUUUUCUUUUGUCACCCACACCUGACCGGGUUUACAGAAUCAAUGAGUCAGAUGCUGGUUGCCAUCAUUACUGUAUGCGAUUGUUUGAUGAUAUGCGGUAUUUCCGAGGCCUUCACGGCUCUCGUAGGUGUGUCCCUGUGGGACUCGGCAGACUCGCUGCUGUCUGACAUUCAGACCACCACAGCAUGUUCUCUAACUUAUUUUUGACUUAUUGUGACAACGACCAAUGCAUUGGUAAUGAUUUGUAAAUCGCUCGUCAUUUUUGCAAAUUCCUGAUUGUCCGUUUUAACAAUUUUCUGGAUUAUAUUGACAGAAAUGAGAGCGACUAACUCGGAACAUAUACCCUGGCUAUUCACUUCAAAGCUCCGUGUAGGCUUCCUCAAAAUGACCUAGAUUCUUCCGGUAGAAUUUCAGCUGGGCCAAUCAGCGAACAGAAUGAGAAGUUCUAAACGAUGACGUCAUCGAUUUUUUUUUUAUUUUUAUUUUUUUCUUCUUCCUCUAGCAAUGGCGGCGGUACGAAGCCGUUCAGUCUGUGUCAACAGCCAUCUUGUUCGGCGCGGUACUAAUCCCCAUUUGUUGUUUACAGCGCAGGCGAUUUCCGGGAAAACUUAGCUGUGUCCCAUAGCAAGAACGUCUGAGUAGGAUUGGAUUUGUGUUUGCUACAAUAAACACCUGGGACUUUCCUGCAAGAAGGUUCCAACAUCUGAUUGGUUAACCUGCACAGGAAGUUCACUUCUGACCAAUCAUCUUGACCAAGAGCAGUGUUUGUGCCAGCAGUCUGUGAUGGAUACCCAAGAAGAUGCGUUUGACAGAAAAGCAAAUAACUGAAAUUAUACUGAUGGCUGGAUCGGGAAGCAGUCGCAUGGUUGCACGAAACUUUAACAGAAAACAUGGAGCGAGCGUCACACACGACACUGUGGCAAAACUUAUUUGCAAGUUUCAGAAAACUGGAAAUGUUGCAGAUCAACCAGGAAGUGGUCCAAGACAUGCAGCGACUACACACAGUCCCGCAAAAAAUAAAAACAGGUGUCCAAUAUAAAAUGUUUAUUAUUUCUAUGAAUGUAAACUUAUGGCCCGAAACAUCUCAGUGGUUUAGAUUUAGAUGGAGAGUUAGAGAGCCUGGAUUUCCAACCACUCUGCUCGAUUCGAUGGAUAUUGCCAAAAUAUAUUUCUCCUCCAUUUAGUUUAACUCAGUUUUGAAAGUGACUUCAUGGUGUUACAGCUGCUCUCCCUUUUUUCACAAUAAAAACAAACAUUUAACACAAAGG